AUGGGAGAGCUUAGCUAUUUUCUGUUUUUGACAGUUAAGAAGUUAGGAAAAUGGCAGGUUGAUGUUAGGCAUGGUGAAUGGAAAGGUGUAUUGAAGAUAGUUUUAACAACAAGUUUGGUCAUAGAUGGUGUGGAUACAACAUAUAAACAUGGUGAAGAAAUUCAAGAGAUAAGGGCAUCAACAAUGAAGAUUACUUUGAGAUGUUAUGGAUGCUUGGAGUUUGGUUUUGGCAACCUAAAGCAUGAAGUUCAUAAGUCUAGAAACUUAGAAUUCUUAUGUUUAGGACCAAAUUCGUAA